rnacentral:rRNA from 1 species
CGGCAACAGCUCAAAUUUGAAAUCUGGCCCUAGCGGUCCGAGUUGUAAUUUGUAGAGGAUGCUUUUGGUGCGGUGCCUUCCGAGUUCCCUGGAACGGGACGCCAGAGAGGGUGAGAGCCCCGUACGGUUGGACACCUAGCCUAUAUAUAGCUCCUUCGAC